AUGAUCUACAUUGCAGCUGGCCUGGGUCUGCCUCUUCUUCCUGUGUGUUGUUUCUGCCCGUGGCGCUCACCUACACCAGAAUAUGGAUUUGGCAGGUGUAAACACUUCCCAGGUUUAUCACCUCUGGUUUCUGGACAUGGGCAUUUGUUUUGGGAAACAGGUGGAAGAGCAGCAUUCUGCCAGGGCUUUUUGGUUUACUCCUGCAGAUAGAUUAUGCAAACAUGUUCAGCAUAUGGAGCAGAACAGAUCCAAACUCUGAUCAAUCAAAUGCAAAGUGCCUUCAUGUGCUGCUGCUUCAGAGUGUGAACUCCCAGAGCAGGCAAUGCACUGAACUGUAUCAUGGACUGAGAGUAUGAAUACACACAGGUAGUCUUGGAAAAAUGGUUCAUCAGUAAGUAUACACUGGAGUUGGCAGGCAAGCGCAUUUUACAAAUGCUUGUUUCAUAAAUAUUUAUUUUAAGAAUUGAAUUUUGGGAGUUUUCAGACAAAAGAAGCCAUGAAACAGUGAAAAGAAACUUAAAGAUUGAAAUUCUUGUGUGUGUGAUUUUUUUUUUUUUUUUUUUUGCUUUAUAUUCCUUAUCACCUCUUUUCUUCUUUUUCAUUUUGAAAGAACUGAAGAAACUAAAGUCUACAAAAACCAGUCUCAGGCAGAAUGCAGAGCCAGUGCCAGGUACCCAGAAGAAUGAGUCAGUAAUAAAGAAACCUACAGCUUGUAACCAAAAUGCCUCAAGCUGUUUGCAUUAAGUUAUCUUGAAUAAACUAUGUGUUAUGUAUUUCCUGAAGAGCAUGACCAAAAACUCACUGAGACACGGAUCUCCAAGGAGGCUAUGGCUAAAAGCCUGACUAAAAUUUUAUGUGUCUUUUUGGUGCAUAUCCCAAAGGAUGUUUGUUUGUUUUUACUCGUUUCUUACUCAUGAAAAAAAAAACCAACAACCCAGUGAGCUUAAGUAGGGUUUAAAAUACAGGAUUCAUUUUUCAUUUGUUAGAGAGCAUUUCCUCUAGACUGUAGACAAAUUAUUUCCCAGCACAGAAAAACCUGCAUUGAUGUGGUCAAGAUUUAAAAUUCAGUAAUGUACUUCCUCUACUGGGGAUGUUCUGAAUUUCUUCAGUGCAGUGAAUCAUUCUGGUGGUGGAACCAAACUCAACUUACUUAUGUUGAAUGGCAAAAGAACAACAAAAACUUUCACAAAUUUGAAAAUAUCACUGAAAAAGAAUAAAAGCACAAUUGUCUUCAGCCAUUAUGGGCUGCCCUAAUUUGAAUCACAUGGGAAAAUGCUUUGUUAAUUGCUUUCUUCCUUUACUCUUCAUUGGCAAAAAACCAAACCAAACCAUUUUCUUUGUUCUUUUCCUUUAGCAUUGCCUUUCCAUCUGGUUUUAGAAGAAGCUGGUCCUGUGGGUUAGCAAAGAUUUUUAAGUACUAGAGAUCUGGGGUAAUUUCUACAGAUGUCCAC
rnacentral:lncRNA from 1 species